ACGCUAGCUACAGGCUUAACACAUGCAAGUCGAGGGGAAACGGCAUUUAGUGCUUGCACUUUUUGGACGUCGACCGGCGCACGGGUGAGUAACGCGUAUCCAACCUUCCCAUGACUAAGGGAUAACCUGCCGAAAGGCAGACUAAUACCUUAUGGUCUUCACUGACGGCAUCAGAUGUGAAGUAAAGAUUUAUCGGUUAUGGAUGGGGAUGCGUCUGAUUAGCUUGUUGGCGGGGUAACGGCCCACCAAGGCAACGAUCAGUAGGGGUUCUGAGAGGAAGGUCCCCCACAUUGGAACUGAGACACGGUCCAAACUCCUACGGGAGGCAGCAGUGAGGAAUAUUGGUCAAUGGGCGAGAGCCUGAACCAGCCAAGUAGCGUGCAGGAUGACGGCCCUAUGGGUUGUAAACUGCUUUUGUAUGGGGAUAAAGUCAAUCACGUGUGAUUGUUUGCAGGUACCAUACGAAUAAGGACCGGCUAAUUCCGUGCCAGCAGCCGCGGUAAUACGGAAGGUCCGGGCGUUAUCCGGAUUUAUUGGGUUUAAAGGGAGCGUAGGCUGGAGAUUAAGUGUGUUGUGAAAUGUAGACGCUCAACGUCUGACUUGCAGCGCAUACUGGUUUCCUUGAGUACGCACAACGUUGGCGGAAUUCGUCGUGUAGCGGUGAAAUGCUUAGAUAUGACGAAGAACUCCGAUCGCGAAGGCAGCUGACGGGAGCGCAACUGACGCUGAAGCUCGAAGGUGCGGGUAUCGAACAGGAUUAGAUACCCUGGUAGUCCGCACAGUAAACGAUGGAUGCCCGCUGUUGGUACCUGGUAUCAGCGGCUAAGCGAAAGCAUUAAGCAUCCCACCUGGGGAGUACGCCGGCAACGGUGAAACUCAAAGGAAUUGACGGGGGCCCGCACAAGCGGAG
rnacentral:rRNA from 1 species